GACGAACGCUGGCGGCGUGCCUAAUACAUGCAAGUCGAGCGAGCUUGCCUAGAUGAAUUUGGUGCUUGCACCAAAUGAAACUAGAUACAAGCGAGCGGCGGACGGGUGAGUAACACGUGGGUAACCUGCCCAAGAGACUGGGAUAACACCUGGAAACAGAUGCUAAUACCGGAUAACAACACUAGACGCAUGUCUAGAGUUUAAAAGAUGGUUCUGCUAUCACUCUUGGAUGGACCUGCGGUGCAUUAGCUAGUUGGUAAGGUAACGGCUUACCAAGGCAAUGAUGCAUAGCCGAGUUGAGAGACUGAUCGGCCACAUUGGGACUGAGACACGGCCCAAACUCCUACGGGAGGCAGCAGUAGGGAAUCUUCCACAAUGGACGCAAGUCUGAUGGAGCAACGCCGCGUGAGUGAAGAAGGGUUUCGGCUCGUAAAGCUCUGUUGGUAGUGAAGAAAGAUAGAGGUAGUAACUGGC
rnacentral:rRNA from 1 species